AGUAACACGUGAGUGACCUGCCUUUUAGACUGGAACAACUUACCGAAAGGUGAGCUAAUGCCGGAUGAGUUAUAUAAGUGCAUGUUUAUAUAGGAAAAGUUGGGGAGACUUGACGCUGAAAGAUGGACUCGCGUCCCAUUAGCUAGUUGGUAGGGUAAUGGCCUACCAAGGCGACGAUGGGUAGCCGGCCUGAGAGGGUGGCCGGCCACACUGGGACUGAGACACGGCCCAGACUCCUACGGAAGGCAGCAG
rnacentral:rRNA from 1 species